CUAUCGAAAGAAGUAAUCAUUGCAGUUUCACAGUCAUCAGCCCGCCUUUCUCACAUGCCGAUUUGUUUGGUGAUUUAGUGUUCUCCAUGUUCUUUCGGCGAUAAAGGUCGUGUUACGGAGUCGCCCAUAUCGACGGGGGUUUUCCAUGGUUUCCCUCGGUCACCAGGAGUGUCUGCAAAUGAAGUACAGCUCCUGGGGCAAAUGCGACGUGAUUGGAGGAAGACGGCCCAUGGUAACGCAUAAAAAUGACAGUAGAAAACCGGAUAAGCUCUACAAAUAUUGUAUCCAAGGAAAUAUAUAUCUACAUUAUUGU